rnacentral:rRNA from 1 species
AGAAUCAACGCUGGCGGCGUGCCUAACACAUGCAAGUCGCACGAGAAAAGGGCUUCGGCUCUAAGUAAAGUGGCGUACGGGUGAGUAACACGUGAAUUAUCUACCUCCGAGUGGGGAAUAACCUAGAGAAAUCUGGGCUAAUACCGCAUAACACUUACGAGUCAAAGCAGUAAUGCGCUUGGAGAGGAGUUCGCGGCAGAUUAGCUAGUUGGCGGGGUAAUGGCCCACCAAGGCAAUGAUCUGUA